rnacentral:rRNA from 1 species
AAGCUCGUAGUUGAAUUUCGGGAUCAAUUUAUUGGUCGUGCAAUCGUACGUACUGGUAUUAUUGAUUCCUACCUUCUGACGAAUCAUGAUGUCAUUAAUUUGGUGUCAUGGGGAAUCAGGACUGUUACUUUAAAAAAAUUAGAGUGUUUAAAGCAGGCUCACGCUUGAAUAUAUUAGCAUGGAAUAACGAAAUAGGACGUUUGAUUCUAUUUUGUUGGUUUCUAGGAUCGACGUAAUGAUUAAUAGGGAUAGUUGGG